GUGCUCGCUUCGGCAGCACAUACACUAAAAUUGGGAUGAUGCAGAGAUUAGCGUGGCCCCUGCGCAAGGAUGACAUGCAAAUUCGUGAAGCAUUCCAUAUUUUU
rnacentral:snRNA from 1 species